UACGUAGGGCGCAAGCGUUGUCCGGAUUUAUUGGGCGUAAAGAGCUCGUAGGCGGUCCGUCACGUCGGCUGUGAAAACCCGAGGCUCAACCUCGGGCCUGCAGUCGAUACGGGCAAACUAGAGUACUGCAGGGGAGACUGGAAUUCCUGGUGUAGCGGUGAAAUGCGCAGAUAUCAGGAGGAACACCGGUGGCGAAGGCGGGUCUCUGGGCAACAACUGACGCUGAGGAGCGAAAGCGUGGGGAGCGAACAGG
rnacentral:rRNA from 1 species